CGUGGCGCUGGCGCAGGCGGAGCUGGCCCAGGUGCUGCGGCUGCGCGGGGAGUUCGCGGAGGCGGACGCGCUGUUCGACGCGAUCGUCACGGCC
rnacentral:tRNA from 1 species